UACGUAGGAGGCGAGCGUUGUCCGGAUUUACUGGGCGUAAAGCGCGCGCAGGCGGCACUUCAAGUAAGGUGUGAAAUCUCCCUGCUCAACGGGGAGGGUGCACUUUAGACUGAGGAGCUAGAGGACGGUAGAGGGGGGUGGAAUUCCGCGUGUAGCAGUGAAAUGCGUAGAGAUGCGGAGGAACACCGAUGGCGAAGGCAGCCCCCUGGGCCAAUACUGACGCUCAGGCACGAAAGCGUGGGGAGCAAACAGG
rnacentral:rRNA from 1 species